rnacentral:misc_RNA from 1 species
AACGCACAUUGCGCCCGCCAGUAUUCUGGCGGGCAUGCCUGUCCGAGCGUCAUUUCAACCAUCAGGCCCCAGGCUUGUGUUGGGGACCUGCGUCCGACGCAGGCCCUGAAAACCAGUGGCGGGCUCGCUGUCCACACCGAGCGUAGUAGCUAACCUCGCUAUGGAGUGGCGCGGGCGCCUGCCGUAAAACCCCCCAUUUUACAAGGUUGACCUCGGAUCAGGUAGGAAUACCCGCUGAACUUAA